rnacentral:rRNA from 1 species
CCUACGGGUGGCAGCAGUGAGGAAUAUUGGUCAAUGGGCGAGAGCCUGAACCAGCCAAGUCGCGUGAGGGAGUACUGCCCUAUGGGUUGUAAACCUCUUUUGUCGGGGAGCAAAAGCCGGACGUGUCCGGCUGUGAGAGUACCCGAAGACACAGCAUCGGCUAACUCCGUGCCAGCAGCCGCGGUAAUAAGGAGGAUGCGAGCGUUAUCCGGAUUUAUUGGGUUUAAAGGGUGAGCAGGCGGAUUUUUAAGUCGGCGGUAAAAUCGUGGGGCUCAACCCCAUCCAGCCGUUGAAACUGGGGAGCUAGAGUGUGCGAGAGGUAUGCGGAAUGCGUGGUGUAGCGGUGAAAUGCAUAGAUAUCACGCAGAACACCGAUUGCGAAGGCAUCUCACGAAUCCGCGAUUGACGCUGAUGCACGAAAGCGUGGGUAUCAAACAGGAGUAGAUACCCUUGUAGUC